UCCCUGGUGGUCCAGUGGCUAAGACUCUGCACUCCCAAUGCACAAGGCCAGGGUUUGAUCCCUGGUCAGGGAA
rnacentral:tRNA from 1 species